CCCUUAGAUGUUCUGGGCUGCACGCGCGCUACACUGAAGCGUUCAACGAGUAUUCACCUUGCCCAGGAGGGUUGGGUAAUCUUUUGAAAACGCUUCGUGAUGGGGAUAGAUUAUUGCAAUUAUUAAUCUUCAACGAGGAAUGCCUAGUAGGCGCAAGUCAUCAGCUUGCGUCGAUUACGUCCCUGCCCUUUGUACACACCGCCCGUCGCUCCUACCGAUUGGGUGUGCUGGUGAAAUGUUCGGAUCGGCCGUUUGUCGCGGUUUCCGCGUCAUGUGGCUGAGAAGUUCAUUAAACCCUCCCACCUAGAGGAAGGAGAAGUCGUAACA
rnacentral:rRNA from 1 species